rnacentral:rRNA from 1 species
UGGGGAAUAUUGCACAAUGGGCGAAAGCCUGAUCCAGCCAUGCCGCGUGUGUGAAGAAGGUCUUCGGAUUGUAAAGCACUUUAAGUUGGGAGGAAGGGCAUUAACCUAAUACGUUAGUGUUUUGACGUUACCGACAGAAUAAGCACCGGCUAACUCUGUGCCAGCAGCCGCGGUAAUACAGAGGGUGCAAGCGUUAAUCGGAAUUACUGGGCGUAAAGCGCGCGUAGGUGGUUUGUUAAGUUGGAUGUGAAAGCCCCGGGCUCAACCUGGGAACUGGAUUCAAAUCUGACUGAAUAGAGUAUUGUUGAGGGUGGUGGAAUUUCCUGUGUAGCUGUGAAAUGCGUAGAUAUAGGAAGGAAGACCAGUGGCGAAGGCGACCACCUGGACUAAUACUGACACUGAGGUGCGAAAGCGUGGGGAGCAAACA